rnacentral:lncRNA from 1 species
CCAACCAGGAACAGUACUUAACAACAGAUUGCAUAAGGAAGAUAUCAACAACAUAACACAUCCUAUGUUAUUACAUACAUUCACAUUCAUACAUUUUUACAUCACAGUUCUCAUUUGAUUUCCUCCAGAUACAAUCUAAGUUAUUACAUCAUUUACUUAUUACAGUUUGAUACAUUGUGUUCUUUUCAUUUUCUAUACCCCUAAGCUAGGCUGCCUCAGGGUACUGCUACCUCGGUCUCUGGGAAGGGCGCUAUCUACUGAGCUACGCCCUUUCCUCGCGCCGCCGCACCGCUCACGUGCGAACCUGUA